rnacentral:lncRNA from 1 species
GCAGGAGGGCCCUGGUGAGAGUGUGUGAGGGCGUGUCGCUCCUUCGCUCCGUGGGGACCACGCCUGUGGCAUCCCGUGACUGACCCAGCCGUGACCUUUGGGGUCUGGGUGCUUUCCAGGCGCUGCCUCGCUGUCCCCAAAAGCUUCUGGAGGAGUUUCCAGCGACCCAGUCCUCAGAGCCCCGGGGCACGCGGAGCUCUGCUCCCACCCGUGACCCAUGUCCUGGCACUGCCCGUCGCUCCUGGGAACCUCUGUCCCCUUCUCCUCCUGAUACUGUGCACGCGGAAGGCGUCUGGGGCAGGCCGGGGCCUGGGGUCCCCAUGGGUCACUCCGCAGCCGCUGGCUGUCACAGGAGCUCACACCCUUCCCGGCCUGCACCUGGGCAGGAGGGGCGCCAUCCCGCUCCCAGAGUGACCGUGUUCACCCUGGGUCUCAGGCACUUUGCUCUCCUGCAGGCCCCUGGUGACACUGACAGAGAAACAGCAGGUGGGCCUAGCAUGGCGCCAGCCUUGGCUUUGGUGACAAGGAGGCUCCAGGGUCCUCUCUGGAACCUGAUUUUACGUCAUUGGCUGUCCAGGCUCAGUAACGCACGGUGGCUCCAAGGCCCCAGGUCGUCCUCGUCCUCCCUGCACCGGAGUCUGUGCACCCCGACUUCGUCACUGCGGAGCAAAUCUGUAGCCGUGGCACCCACAGCUGGGCAGCAGCCACAGGGCCGAGGAGGCAGUAGCAGCUGCCCCUGCCACGCCUAGCCACCUGGACCUGUCCCCCAGAUGUCUGCUUGGCAUUUCCAAAGUCCCAGCUGUCCUGAUCGUAGGUGACCUGAGAGUCUCAAAGCUUAGACACUCACGCCCUAGUCUGAGUUUCGAGGUAGAUGUUGAUGCAAACCAAGAUUUGAAAACUCAGUAUUUCUCUCUUUUGCCUUUAAGUUUCCCAGCAUGAAGAUUAAUGAAUGUAAAGAAAGUAGAGAGAAACUACCUUUUCCAAGUCUCUGAAGGCCACAGCCGCCUCUCACAUCCUAUAGCUUUGUUUGGGUUUGGAUUUUGUCUUUUUGAGACAGGUUCUCACUAUGCAGUUCAGGCUGGCCUUGAACUCACCGCGUAGCCCAGGCUGGUCUCGAACUCGCAGAGAUCCUCCUGCCUCAGCCUCCCAAGUGCUGGGAUUGUAGAUGUCCACCACCACACCUACUUUUCUGACUCAGUUGUUCCUCUUUAAAUUAAGCAUUCUUGUAAUACCUCCAGCUUUGGGG